UUUCAUCAAAUGUUGCGUCUGAAGCGGGAAGAUUGCAACUCGAAAUCCACAUCUCCAUCUCCAUCGAAAUCGUCCCGUGGCUGAAACCAUUACCAUUGACCAUCUCCUCCCCCAUCUGAAACCAUUGAAAUUUCCUCCCCAUCUAAAGAUUGAAAUCACUAACCCUAACCCCUCUGCCCAUCUGGAGACUGAAAUCCCUAAACCCUUCCUAACCCAUCGCAGACCAAACCCGUUGUGUAUCUGGGAUUUUACUCUCUACAGAAUCGCUAUUGGUGAUCUAUUUAACCUGGUCUGUUCAGCUAAAUGGUUGUCGGUGGUGCUUAAAACAAUCCAUACUUGUCUGGAGCUGCAAAAAGGAAUCUUUUCUUUAAUCUUCUAUAUGCUGAAGGCAGCAGCUCAAUGUUGCAGUUAUGAUGAGGAUGCGCAGCAUAGAUCAAUGGAUGUACCAAUAAGAAGUGAUUUGAUUCAAGUUUGAAGCACUAUAUGGACAAGGGAAAGUAAAAGAGAAUUAGGAUUGGGGCCACUAAAGAUGACAUAGUGAUCUGCAAUUUUAAGGAAAAUAUGACAAUUUUUUAGGAAGCUGCCAAUAAGCUAUUGGUUUACCAGAGUUUUGGUUAUUCUUCCAUUUAGGUCCUAACUUUGUGAAAGCUGUUUGAUGUAUCAUCAUUCAAGUAGUUCUUAUAUUGUAAAUUAUUAUAUUUGUAUAGGGUUGUCACAUUUAUAAUAGUUUUGUCUUAUUUCGGAUAAAUUGUAUAUAAAUAGCAAGUUGUAUGGAGUAGAUCAUUUUUUAAUGUAUCAA